GCCGACGUAGCUCAAUAGGUAGAGCAGCGGGUUUAUACCCCGAAAGCUGCAGAUAACAGGCAGGUUCAGAGUUCGAGUCUCUGCGUCGGUCCCA
rnacentral:tRNA from 1 species